rnacentral:rRNA from 1 species
UACGUAGGGUGCAAGCGUUGUCCGGAAUUAUUGGGCGUAAAGAGCUCGUAGGCGGUCAGUCGCGUCUGCUGUGAAAACUCGGGGCUUAACUCCGGGCCUGCAGUGGGUACGGGCUGACUAGAGUGCGGUAGGGGAGACUGGAAUUCCUGGUGUAGCGGUGGAAUGCGCAGAUAUCAGGAAGAACACCAACGGCGAAGGCAGCUCGCUGGGACGGUACUGACGCUGAGACGCGAAAGCGUGGGGAGCGAACAGG